AUGUGCCGGAAAGAAACUAGGACCAUCCUGGGGAUUCCUGAGCCUUCCUUCUGUUUACUUCCUUUUUCCACCAAGCCCUUGGAGACUCGGGCUCCGAUCCGGCCCCCUUCCCACGCUCAGGGCGCUGUCUUCCCCCCGGAAGCCUGGCCCUGCCCCUGCGUUUACCUGUGCGGGAACUCGGCCACCGCGUGCUCCGGGACGAGGCCAGGGCUCAGGUUUGGGGACCGCUCCACUGCGGGGCGCGUGGGGCCUAAGUAUCCCCGCCCACCCCGGGAGCCCAGACUUCGGAGCGCCGGGCCUGAGCUUUCCGCAGAGGGGCCCGGCAACGGAGCCCUGUCCUGCUCGGAGGAGGCGGGUGGCGGUGGCCCGGUGGGCACCACACGUGGAACUGGAAGAGUUCCUGAGACCCUGCUUCGAAGAGAUAUCCCGUGCACAUUCUACCCGUUUGAGAUGUCCACUUCCCAGCGGCCUUUGCGGGAACAAGAUGGCAGCCCCCAUACCUCAAGGCCAGUUCUGGUGACUCAGUCCUCAGCUAUAGUUCCAGUAAGAACUAAAAAACAUUUCACACCUCCUGUUUAUCAACCUAAAUUUAAAACAGAAAAAGAGUUUAUGGAACAUGCCUGGAAAGCAGGAUUGGUUAUUCCUCCAGAAAAAUCGGACCGUUCCAUACAUCUGGCCUGUACAGCUGGUAUAUUUGAUGCCUAUGUUCCUCCUGAGGGUGAUGCACGCAUAUCAUCUCUUUCAAAGGAGGGACUGAUACACAGAACUGAAGGAAUGAAGAAGACUAUGGCAUCGCAAAUGUCAAUCCAGAGGAUAAAAGACUAUGAUGCCAAUUUUAAAAUAAAGGACUUCCCUGAAAAAGCUAAGGAUAUAUUUAUUGAAGCUCACCUUUGUCUCAACAACUCAGACCAUGACUGACUUCAUACCUUGGUAACUGAACACUGUUUUCCAGACAUGACCUGGGACAUCAAAUAUAAGACCGUCCGCUGGAGCUUCGUGGAAUCUUUAGAGCCCUCCCAUGUUGUUCAAGUUCGCUGUUCAAGUAUGAAGAACCAGGGCAAUGUGUACGGCCAGAUCACCGUACGCAUGCACACCAGGCAGACUCUGGCCAUCUAUGACCGGUUUGGCCAGUGAUGUAUGGACAGGAAGAUGUACCCAAGGAUGUCCUGGAGUAUGUUGUAUUCGAAAAGCAGUUGACAAACCCAUAUGGAAGUUGGAGAAUGCAUAGCAAGAUCGUUCCCCCAUGGGCACCCCCUAAGCAGCCCAUCCUUAAGACGGUGAUGAUCCCUGGCCCUCAGCUGAAACCAGAAGAAUAUGAAGAGGCACAAGGAGAGGCCCAGAAGCCUCAGCUAGCCUGAUGACAAAAAUGACUUCUGGGGUGAAGCCUGGGUGAUGAGGCUGCUGGAAGCUUUGAAGUCUCCCAUUCCCAUCAUGCUACAGAAAGAACUACCUUUGUUCUCUCUCAUCCUGCUCAGGUCUUUUCAGUAGUCUCAUCCUCAGCAACCAUGGCUGAUGGCUGGGCCCUAGCAGGUGGCAGGUAUAACAUGGCCAUGUACACUCUUCUUUUUUAAAUUUUAUGUCAAGCUUCUGAGUCUAGAUGAAAGACAGUAUGUUUCAGAGAACAUUGGAUACCAGUUUUUUCCACAGCAGGGUCUGUGAGAGAGAACCAGCAGCAUCCUCUUUGUAAUCACAGGGCAGGGAUCAGAGUUUGAAAUAAAA